rnacentral:rRNA from 1 species
ACAAGCGGUGGAGUAUGUGGUUUAAUUCGAUGCAACGCGAGAACCUUACCUGGUCUUGACAUCCCGGAGACCCUUAGGAACUAGGGGUGCUUCCAUCUGGAGAAUCUGGAGACAGGUGCUGCAUGGCUGUCGUCAGCUCGUGUCGUGAGAUGUUGGGUUAAGUCCCGCAACGAGCGCAACCCUUGCCUUUAGUUGCCAGCAGUUCGGCUGGGCACUCUAAAGGGACUGCCGGUGUUAAACCGGAGGAAGUGGGGAUGACGUCAAGUCCUCAUGGCCUUUAUGACCAGGGCUACACACGUACUACAAUGGCCGAUACAAAGGGCAGCGACACUGCGAGGUGAAGCCAAUCCCGUAAAAUCGGUCUCAGUCCGGAUUGGAGUCUGCAACUCGACUCCAUGAAGUUGGAAUCGCUAGUAAUCGUGGAUCAGCAUGCCACGGUGAAUACGUUCCCGGGCCUU